rnacentral:rRNA from 1 species
AGACCGAUAGCAAACAAGUACCGUGAGGGAAGAUUGAAAAGAACUUUGAAGAGAGAGUUCAAUAGUACGUGAAACUGUGUGGUGGUAAACAGAGGGGUUCUCGAAGUUUCUGAGGGGAACUCAACCUUGGUGUCUGGCGGUCCGGGCGUAUCUGAUCAGCAAUGACUGUGCGCUCUGUCUGGCUUGGCUCUCGGGUGCACUUCCCCCUCAGUUUACGGCAGGAACCGUUUGGCACGGACCAAAGGCCUCGGGUGAAGUUGUCGCUUCUGGUGGCAGCCCUGGGUGUCCUGGCUCUGAGCCCGACGGGUAUGUGAGAGGACUCGUAUAGCGAGCAAUGCUCUGUUGCAGUUCUCAUCUCUCUGCCGAGUAGGUCGGUGGCCCCUCUGACCCGUCUUGAAACACGGAC